rnacentral:rRNA from 1 species
CUGCUGCCUUCCGUAGGAGUCUGGGCCGUGUCUCAGUCCCAAUGUGGCCGUUCAACCUCUCAGUCCGGCUACUGAUCGUCGCUUUGGUGGGCCAUUACCCCGCCAACUGGCUAAUCAGACGCGAGCUCAUCUUUGGACGAUAAAUCUUUGGCAGUAAAAUCAUGCGGUCUCGCUGCAUCAUGCGGUAUUAGCAGUCGUUUCCGGCUGUUAUCCCCCAUCCAAAGGCAGAUUGCUCACG